UUGGCCCCUACUUAUUCCUGGUUGUUAGGAAAAUGAUUUGAAUUCGGGCUUCUUAUUUUGCAGGACUUCUGCUAUUAUGCUAACACAAUUUUCUUAAUCACGCUUCUGGUUUUUCCUACUAAGGAGAAGCUGUGCAUGGGACCUCUAGCAUGGGCAUUGAUUGUUUGGCGGUGUAGCUUAGGUGUUCAGUUCAGUUGAUAAAAUUGUCAGUGUCUUCGUACAUCUUUUACCUGGGUUAGUUAAUUUCUUUACAAUUCGCUGGAGGGAUGCUGAGUUUUUUGGAGCUAUGCAUCCUGAAGGGACUCCAGAACGAGCAUCAUGGUCUUAUGUAGAAAGCCAAUCCUGCCUUUGGACUUCUUGUGGAAACUAAUAAUGCAUCUGUAACAGUCCAGUCUGAAUAAUGGAACUAUCUGAUUUGGAGUGUUCAUCAUCCGACUUAGCUGGUGUUUUUAACUUUUCUAUCUGCUUUACGUAUGAAUGGAAGGUUUGAGUUCGUGACUCACACGUUGUAGAUUUGGUGAAAGGAAAAAUGAACUAUCUGUCAUUUUGUUGUUGUUCAUAUCUGAUUGAUUAUCUGCGCCCAUGAUUUUGUAGAUUUGGUGAAAAAAGAUUAUCCAUGUUCUCUUCUAUUGUGAGUUUGCAAUUGAUA